rnacentral:rRNA from 1 species
CAGCAGCCGCGGUAAUACCGGCGGCCCGAGUGGCGGCCACUAUUAUUGGGCUUAAAGCGUCCGUAGCCGGGUUGGUUAGUCUCCCGGGAAAUCUGGCCGCUUAACGGUCAGAAUUCCGGGAGAUACUGCCAGCCUAGGGACCGGGAGAGGCCGAGGGUAUUCCCGGAGUAGGGGUGAAAUCCUAUAAUCCCGGGAGGACCACCUGUGGCGAAGGCGCUCGGCUGGAACGGGUCCGACGGUGAGGGACGAAGGCCGGGGGAGCAAACCGGAUUAGAUACCCGGGUAGUCCUGGCUGUAAACGAUGCGGACUUUGUGUCGGACAAGCUAUGAGCUUGUCCGGUGCCGGAGGGAAACCGUUAAGUCCGCCGCCUGGGGAGUACGGCCGCAAGGCUGAAACUUAAAGGAAUUGGCGGG